rnacentral:rRNA from 1 species
UACGGAGGGGGCUAGCGUUGUUCGGAAUUACUGGGCGUAAAGCGCACGUAGGCGGCUUUGUAAGUUAGAGGUGAAAGCCCGGGGCUCAACCCCGGAACUGCCUUUGAAACUAGGUAGCUAGAAUCUUGGAGAGGUCAGUGGAAUUCCGAGUGUAGAGGUGAAAUUCGUAGAUAUUCGGAAGAACACCAGUGGCGAAGGCGACUGACUGGACAAGUAUUGACGCUGAGGUGCGAAAGCGGUGGGGGAGCAAACAGGG